rnacentral:rRNA from 1 species
CAGGACGACGCUGGCGGCGUGCCUAAUACAUGCAAGUCGAACGGUCUUUCUAUGGAAGCUUGCUUCCACUGAGAAGAUAGUGGCGAACGGGUGAGUAACACGUGGGUAACCUGCCCAUAAGAGGGGGAUAACAUCCGGAAACGGGUGCUAAUACCGCAUAGUUUUCCUGAUCGCAUGAUUGAGAAAGGAAAGACGGCCUUUGUGCUGUCGCUUAUGGAUGGACCCGCGGCGUAUUAGUUAGUUGGUGAGGUAACGGCUUACCAAGACGAUGAUACGUAGCCGACCUGAGAGGGUGAUCGGCCACAUUGGGACUGAGACACGGCCCAAACUCCUACGGGAGGCAGCAGUAGGGAAUCUUCCGCAAUGGACGAAAGUCUGACGGAGCAACGCCGCGUGAGUGAAGAAAGGUUUUCGGAUCGUAAGACUCUGUUGUCAGAGAAGAACAAGUUGGAGAGUAACUGCUCCAGCCUUGACGGUAUCUGACCAGAAAGCCACGGCUAACUACGUGCCAGCCGCCGC